UGGAAAGGUUUUAGGAUAUUUUAAGAAAUACUUGACACAUGACAGAUUUGUUGGUGACUACUCAAUAAUUAAGGUGUUAUAACAAGUGGAAAAGCCAUUUCAAGGGAUGCAAUAGGUAAGAAUAAUUUUCUUUCUAUAAAAUGGUUAUGAUGCCAGGUAUAACUCUUUAAUGUGAUUGAAGUGAUGUUCACACAUGGUGAUUUGUGACUGUUUUUGCAUACUAUAAAAUACCUUAUAUAUGUAAAAGAUCUCAUUCGUAUUGUAAAUGGACCAUGUUUUACAUUUGAUUUUACAAACUAGAAAGCACUUUGCUUUAGAAAGCUAUUGGCAUACCCUGUUAAAACUAAAUUAAUUUUUUAGCUUUUUUUUUUUUUUUUUGAGACAGGGCUUCUCUAUUACCCUGGCUGGAAUGUAAUGACAUGAUCUCAGCUCACCACAAUCUCUGCCUCCUAGACUCAAGCAAUCCUCCUGCCUCAGCCUCCCAAGUAGCUGGGACCACAGGCCCAGGAAAAACACACACUGUAAAAUAAGAUUUCUUCAAAGACAACUUGAAGACGUCUGGGAAUUCCAAAGGCUGAAAAUUCCAUGAGUUCAUAGCAGUGUUCACUAAUUCCACUGAUCUAAAGACAAAAAGGAGAGUCAACUGCGU
rnacentral:lncRNA from 13 species